ensembl:lncRNA
GGGGGGGAGUGGGAUCCAGGGUGUGGAGAUGGGAUCCAGGGGGUGGAGAUGGGUAGGUUCAGGGGUGGAGAUGGGAUCCAGGGGGUGGAGAUGGGAUCCAGGGGGUGGAGAUGGGUAGGUUUAGGGGUGGAGAUGAGAUCCAGGGGAUGGAGAUGGGUAGGUUUAGGAUGGAGAUGGGAUCCAGGGGGUGGAGAUGGGUAGGUUCAGGGGUGGAGAUGGGAUCCAAGGGGUGGAGAUGGUUAGGUUAAGAGGUGGAGAUGGGAUCCAGGGGGUGGAGAUGGGUAGGUUUAGGGGUGGAGAUGGGAUCCAGGGGUGGAAAUGGUUAGGUAUAGG